UUCCAGACUCCUACGGGAGGCAGCAGUGAGGAAUAUUGGUCAAUGGGCGAGAGCCUGAACCAGCCAAGUCGCGUGAGGGAAGACGGUCCUACGGAUUGUAAACCUCUUUUGUCAGGGAGCAAGGAGCGCCACGAGUGGUGCGGCGAGAGUACCUGAAGAAAAAGCAUCGGCUAACUCCGUGCCAGCAGCCGCGGUAAUACGGAGGAUGCGAGCGUUAUCCGGAUUUAUUGGGUUUAAAGGGUGUGCAGGCGGUUUUGCAAGAUGGAUGUGAAAGCCCCGGGCUUAACCUGGGAAAGCCAUACAUGACUGCAAGACUAGAGUGCGUCAGAGGGGGGUGGAAUUCCAAGUGUAGCAGUGAAAUGCGUAGAUAUUUGGAAGAACACCGAUGGCGAAGGCAGCCCCCUGGGACGCAACUGACGCUCAUACACGAAAGCGUGGGGAGCAAACAGGAUUAGAUACCCCGGUACAC
rnacentral:rRNA from 1 species